GGAAGCCAAAUAGAUUCAGGGUUUGUUUUGUUUCCUGGGAGAAAAACUACCUAGAAACUGGUCCUUUUUACUACCCAGUUCACAGUAUUUCCUGAGAUUAAUAAUGAUAUCUUGCAUUUGGGUGAUGCUUCAAAAUGUUUUCUUAAAGGUCUGUGUCAGAGAUUAGCUCACUUGACUCUCUAUUUUACAAUAAGGAAACUAAAGCUCAGAGAGGCAAAAGCUUGCCCAAUGUAUCACAUUCAGGAAAUGGGACCUCACAGAAGGGUACCCAGGCUUUCUAAUUUCGUAAGCCCUCUCAUCACACAGAGAAGACGGCAGAUCUACACCACUGAAAGGACAAAAGACAAAAGAAUGCUUGUGCCUCUGCCAGCCUAAUCCCUGGAAAUAAGACUUCUUUACUUCCGAGCGUUUUCCUGGGUCCUGCCUCGCAUCUGACCAGGGCAGGUGGCCUCCUCAUCACACUGCUGCCUCUGCUGUUGGCCCUGCUCAUGAAGCCACUAAACAUAUGGUCUCAGCUCUCUUGUCCUCCAAGAAAGACAACCACCACUGCUGCCUUUCUGAUCUCACGACCAAAGAGAAGAUGCUGUUCACCUCGAUCUAAGGCCCUAGGUCCUCAUUUCUUGCCUCCCAUUGGAGCUCAUCCAAGAUGGUUGACAAUGAGAAGAUAAACUCUCUUCAAGGAAAACUCCACACCUAGCCAAGAAGCUGUGAUUUUGCUUUAGGAACCAUUGAAACUCAUAACCCUAUAACACCAUAACCCAACAGAGUUUUUCUGCCUUAAGUAAUACCUCAUGUGAAUGCAGUCAUUCAGGAUGUUUUGGGGAAAGAAGCCUCCUUGCCUCUCCAAAAAACCACAUAAAGCCAUCGGGACCAUUUUCCUAGGUGACUGUAGGAGAAAUAUCAAGAUAAAGUGAUGUGCAACCAGCAGGGGAGAAUCCAGGUGAAAGUGGUGAAGAACAUGGGAACCUCUCUCCCAGGUGAAAAGAAUUUCCUGGCCUGGGGAAAGAAGGAAGAGAAAGAGAUCUGUAGGUCCUGGGAGCAGAGAGGACCUCUAUGCUCCUUUCGGCAAUGCCCUGAAUAUGAUCAGUAAUAGUAACAACAAUGACAAUAGCAACAGCAAUGAUAAUGAGAGCAGCUGACUGCUACUGAACACUGACUAUGUACCAGGAAUUGUGCUAAGUACUUUAUGUUACAUUACCUCAAUUUUGUCCUCACAACAACUCUGGGAGGUAGGUAAUAUACAUAUCUCCACUUUACAGAUGAAAAUCUGAAGCUUAGGAAAUGGAAGAACAUCUGCCGGAGGUCACACAGACAUGGCACGUUCAUGAUGUGAAUCCAAGUGAUGCUGAAGUCAGCCUUCUUAAACAUUCACAAUUCUGCCCCUCUUCAGUGAGGCCUCCAAGACCAGCUGCCUGGGGAACUCAGGCAGAGAAAGCUAUCUGCAGCCAGAUAUGGGUCCUUCUAGUUGCGGCAUGUGGGAUGCCACCUCAGCAUGGCUUGAUGAGUGGUACCAUGUCCGCGCCCAGGAUCCGAACCCGUGAAACCCCGGGCCACCGAAGCAGAGCGCGCGGACCCAACCACUCAGCCACGGGACCGGCCCCUACAAACCUUGAUUUUAGAGUCUCAGUUCCUUUAAAAUUUUGGACAUGAACCCACCUGAACAACAACUACCAAAACUCCUCCAACUGGCUUCCAUUGCUGAACAGAUACAUUCCGAUUUCUCUGACAAGUAAAUGUAAAGUGUACAAUGAACCUGACCAGUGCUUUGACAAACAUCGUUGAAGUGUAAUGAGAUCUCUUUACGCUUUCUUUCUUUUCUGUUGUUACUAGGGCUUUCUUGUAAAUAAAUAAACCGCAUUAGUCAGUGUUGAGAAGACAUUCUCUCGUUCAUUAACUGGGAAAGGUAAAUUGAACUUAGGUGCUUUAAUUUCAGAAAAUUGUUUUGCUAAAAUUUUCUUAAUUUAUGUAACCUUUAUCAUAGGACACUCAUUCGUAAUUUUUUACUGUAAUGGUAUAAAAAUGAAAAUACCUUUUGAGAUCAUUACCCUAGUCCAUAUCUGUUAUGGGCUCAAUUGUGCCCCCCAAAAUUCCUAUGCUGAAAUUCUAACCCCUAGUACCUCAGAAUGUGACUGUAUUUGGAGACUGGGUCUAUAAGACGUGUUAAGGUAAAAUGAGGCCGUGAAAGUGGGCCCUUAUCCAAAAAAACUGGUGUCCUUCGAAGAACAGAGGGUUAGGACAGAGACGCACACAGAAGGAAGACAGUGUGACAACACGGGGAGAAGACGGCCAUCUGCAAGUCAGAGAGAGGCCUCAGGGGACAUCAACCCUGUGGACGCCUUGAUCUCUGAUUUCUAGCCUCCAAAGUCGUGAGAAAAAUAAAUUUCUGUCGUUUCAAUCACCCAGCCUGUGGUACUUCGUUAUGGCAGCCCUAGCAAAUUAAUAUAAUGUCUUAAAUUUGGCAAUAAUACUGUCUGACAGAGUAAGAAUUUCCUGUGUGAGUCUUUCCUUCUGCAAAAAUUAUCUUUAAUUCUUUUUAAAAUAAAACCAAAAUGUGACUGGCAAACUUUCUGUGCAUAAGUAUAUUAAAUAUUUUUUUCUGUAUGGACGAGUAUUCUUUUUGUUUUACUUUUUUUUAUCGCAGUAACAGUGGAUUAUAACAUUGUAUAGCUUUCAGAUGUACAUCGUAAUAUAUUUUGAAUUCUGUGUAGAUUACAUCAUGUUCACCACCCGAAAACUAAUUAUGGUCUAUCACUUCACAUGUGAGCCUAAUCACUCCUUGUGCCCUCCCACUUCCCCCUUCCCCCUUCCCCUCUGGUAGCUACCUAUCCAGUCUCCAUUGCUAUGUGUUUGUUUGUCAUUGUUUUUAUCUUCUACUUAUCAGUGACAUCAUAUGGUAUUUGACUUUCUCUCUCUGACUUAUUUCCCUUAGCGUAAUACCCUCAAGGUCCAUCCAUGUUGUCGCAAAUGGCCAGAUUUCACCAUUUCUUGUGGCUGAGUAAUAUUCCAUUGUGUAUAUAUACCACAUCUUCUUUAUCCAUUUGUAUGGAUGAAUAUUCUGUAACUCAGACAUGAGACAAAUCAAAUCAACCUUUGCCCUCAAUUGUAAUGAAUUAAGGAGAUCUUAUUGAAUAGUCCAUCACACAGAUAAUUUUUACAAAACUGGUUCUAGGACAACAUCUUCCAUAUUCAAUCAACUCUUAAGUCUUGUUGUUUUUACUACCUUUCUUAUAAAACACUGCAUUUCAUUACCUUAUUUUUCCCUUCUAGUUGUCACCACCCUAGUGAAGACACCAAUGUCUUUUCUGGGCUCAUCUAAUAAUUUCCCAAAUGUCCUCACCUAUGGACCCUCUCUACCUCCAAAAUUCAUUACAUAGACACUAGUUAUAAUUAUGACAUGAAAUUCUUUUUGUGGCAAUAUUCUUCAAUAGUUUCCCAUUAUCUACAAAAUAAAAUCUAAACUCCCUUCACAGUACAAUAGCAUAUGCUUCAUGAUGUAGCCUCUGCAUACUUGUUCUGCUUUGUGUCGCUCCUCAACCUCAACCCUUGUUUUACUCACUAAUACUUAUUACCUAUAGCUCCUGGACUGUAUUGGGAUUUUCCUUUUUUUUUUUUUUUCUUAUGCCUAUAUGUCUUUGCACAUAUGUUGUUCUUACUGCCUGUAAUGUUUUCCAAUAUUCUCUGACCAACUUCUUAUCCUUCAAGUUUUAGCUCAAAUAACAUCUUAUGUCUCAGUGUUCAAAUGUGCCUUCUGUGUUCCCAUGACACACAGUUUAUAGCUCCUUGUCUAUCUCCACAGCAGAUCAAUCUAUUUCUGCAUUUGUCUACUCAGUCCUUAGUAUCAUGCCUUCAUGGUGAAGGGACUUAAUGACUGCUUAUUAAGUGAAUACAAGGAUGAAGUGGGUAUGGCCUCAAAAAAUUGCUCAAAAGUAUUCAAAAGGCCUUACACUCACCACAAAGUCUCUAUGAAAAUGACCUUAAAGGAGUAUCACUCCGACAGGGUCAAUUUCCUUCCUGGGAAUAAUGUAAUUGGGGUUGUAUUACAGAAGAAGGACAUAGUCCCAGGUAAAUCACAGUUUUGACCACAUGGACAAGGCAAAGAUAUGACAAUUAUAAACUGAUAUAAUUAAUAAACAUUAAGCGCUAAAUUUUAUAAGAUGGCUAUAAACGUUCUAGAUAUAGUUGUAUUUAAUGUAAUAUAAUGUAAAUAUAACUAUUGAAUAAUAAAUUUGACAUUAAUUAAUUUUUCUGAAUCUUCUAAAAUAGAUUUAAGGCUUCUUUGAAAACAGGUAUAACAGCAGUGUCAUUAAAAUAAAAAUUCUACAAUUACCUACUUGAAGUAAGUUUGAAAGCAAUAUCAAGCAUUAACAAAAUAUUUAAUGUUAAAUGUCAUUUUUACUUCUUUAAAAUAAUUUAUUUUGGAAUUAGUGUGGAGUGGGCCUAUAUCUCUUUGAAAAGUAUCUGAAUUCACACACACAGCUGGUGGGGACGUAAAUUAGAAAACAUGACGUUUAGCUUUAUGUAUUUAAAUUCUCCAAAUUCUCAUAGUGUUUGACCGAGUAUUUGUGAUUCUGGAAGCUGAUCUUAAGAAACAAAUCAGACAUUUAAAAAUAUUCAUGAGCAAAUAUAUUUAUUGCAGCACUAUCUGAAAUUCAGAAAAUCAAUAAAGGGUUGGUUAAGAA
rnacentral:lncRNA from 1 species